ACUCAAAUGAAUAGACGGGGGCCCGCACAAGCGGUGGAGCGUGUGGUUUAAUUCGACGGUAAGCGAGGAACCUUACCAGGGCUUGAAAUCUAGCUGCAUCCCAGCAGAAACGUUGGGAGCCUAUCGAGGGUGCUAGACAGGUGCUGCAUGGUUGUCGUCAGCUCGUGUUGUGAAAUGUUCCCUUCAGUGGGGUAACGAGCGCAACCCCUGUCGCGUGUUGCAUUCACGCGAGACUGCCGUGGUUAACACGGAGGAAGGUGGGGACGACGUCAAAUCAGCAUGGUCCUCUGACGCCCUGGGCUACACACGCGCUACAAUGGUUGGGACAAUGAGUUUAUGCCACUUCGCGAGAAGGAGCUAAUCUAUAAACCCAAUCUCAGUUCGGAUUGGAGUCUGCAACUUGACUCCAUGAAGCUGGAAUCGCUAGUAACCGUAAAUCAGCCACGUUACGGUGAAUACGUUCUCGGGCUUUGUACACACCGCCCGU
rnacentral:rRNA from 1 species